rnacentral:rRNA from 1 species
UACAGAGGUCUCAAGCGUUGUUCGGAUUCAUUGGGCGUAAAGGGUGCGUAGGCGGCGCGGUAAGUCGGGUGUGAAAUCUUGGAGCUUAACUCCGAAACUGCAUUCGAUACUGCCGUGCUUGAGGACUGGAGAGGAGACUGGAAUUUACGGUGUAGCGGUGAAAUGUGUAGAUAUCGUAAGGAAGACCAGUGGCGAAGGCGGCGACCUGGGUCGAGACUGACGCUGAGGCGCGAAAGCGUGGGGAGCAAACAGG